GUGCAUAAUGUACUACUCAUUAAAAAACACACGGCAUCACUAUCUCAUUAGGGUUUCAGAUGUCUAUCUCAUUCCUAUCCGCCUCCCUCUCUCUCUCUCUCUCGGCGAUUCAGAAACCCCAAGCUAUCUUCACCAGAUCUGUUUGAGAAUUUGCUUUCUUAGGCUGCUAUUGAUGGUGGUUGUCUGGUUAAGUUGUUGAUUGUGCAAUUGCCCUGCUUUCUCUCUCAAAUGAGAUCUAGGGUUUCUACAUAUGAUUCAAGAUCUGGCUAUCGCAGCUUUCUCUCUCAAACGAGAUCUAGGGUUUCUACAUACGCUUCAAGAUCUGGCUUUCACAGUUCGGUUCGACACAUUUCAAAUUGAGAUCCCUUUUUCCAUUUUCGUUCUCUCUCUCCCUCAAAGAUCUGGAUUUGGAUCUGUGGAUCCAAAAGGAAAAACAAUCAGAGAUGUUCUUUUACCCCAAAAAUCACUGUGCUCUUUUAUAUACAUACAUCUGGUGAGAACCAAACCUUGCAAGACCCAAAAUUUCACCCAGUUGAUGUUUGUAUCUGCUUUAAACUUGCAGAUCUAGGGUUUUACUUUCAUGUCUGAGGUAAACUCUACUUUGAAUCAACAGAUCUAGGGUUUUAUACCUCAUGUUUGAGGGUUUUAUUCUUGGAAGGAUCUUAAGGACCACAUGCGUAAGGCUGGAGAUGCAUGUUUUGCUGAAGUUUCUUGGAUAAUCCCGUCCCCGAUACACAGCCAACAGAUCAGCAUCAGCGGCUUUCCUUAUGCUUUGACAAACUAAUGGGUGAUGUCUCCAGAAAAUUGGAUUCGAAGAACCGAGACAAGUUCACUCAGAAUCUGACAAUAUUGAGAAACGGUUGACCGAAAACGAGUAUAAAACAGCUGGGAAGGAUAUCAGAGCGCUUAAGCUGAUUCUAGAAGCAAUGCAGAAGGCAAAAAAGAGAUUCUACAUUCAAGACACUUUGAUUUAUCUCUAAUGAAUAAUGGUACAACCCUUUGGUGGAGUGGGCAUGGAUGAGGUCAUUAUGGUGGGAGCAGAUGAAAGGUUGGCAUCUGCAUCUGCAUCAGCAUCAGUACCAUGGAGUCCUAAGCAGCUUGCUGAUCGUAGGCCCUGGUGGUUACUAGAAGUGAAGUGAGAACGUGGAAUUCGGGUGGUUUUGUUAAAAGACUCGUGAGUGAUCUCGACUAAUCAAAAUAUGUUCUUUUAUGCAGUUUGAUCAUAUGUUAUAGCUAGGAAAAUGAACUUCAUGUGGAAUAAAGUUAGUGUAUUAAGUAGUAAUCAAGAUUAACCAGUAUUUACUAAAGUUUGAGCUUUUUUUUUCAACCGUAGUGAAAUAAAUAUUUAGUCUGGCUAGGGUUUGAAUAUAAAUUGAAUCAGCAUUAAUCGUUCAUUUAUGUCGCCUAUUUUUUUUAAUUCUCAGUUAAACAAAAUUUUUGAUGCUGAGUAUAAAAAUCAUAUUGUUCGAAUUUAUGAUUACUUUGUAUAUCAAUGGCAUUUGUGCAUUGCUUUUGAACUGCUCGAUUCAGAUUUGUCAGUUUCUAUUUGUUACAUUAAUCAUUUUCUAUCAGCUUCAUAUUAGGAUUUGAGUUUUUUUGUUUGUGAUUUUGCAUCAAGAAUGAGCUUGUAAGGCUAAAUCGAUUUGGUUUAUUAAGGUUUCGGUUUGCUUAAUUCGGUUUAGAAACUCAAUGUUCCUGUUGUUUGGGUUAAAACAGGAACCGAAACCGUAAUGGUUAUUCGGUCAGGUUUAUUUUGGUUAGGAAAUGGUGUUUAGUCUGGCUAGGGUUUGAAUAUAAAUUGAAUCAGCAUUAAUCGUUCAUUUAUGUCGCCUAUUUUUUUUAAUUCUCAGUUAAACAAAAUUUUUGAUGCUGAGUAUAAAAAUCAUAUUGUUCGAAUUUAUGAUUACUUUGUAUAUCAAUGGCAUUUGUGCAUUGCUUUUGAACUGCUCGAUUCAGAUUUGUCAGUUUCUAUUUGUUACAUUAAUCAUUUUCUAUCAGCUUCAUAUUAGGAUUUGAGUUUUUUUGUUUGUGAUUUUGCAUCAAGAAUGAGCUUGUAAGGCUAAAUCGAUUUGGUUUAUUAAGGUUUCGGUUUGCUUAAUUCGGUUUAGAAACUCAUUGUUCCUGUUGUUUGGGUUAAAACAGGAACCGAAACCGUAAUGGUUAUUCGGUCAGGUUUAUUUUGGUUAGGAAAUGGUGUUUAGUUUGAUCGGUUUGAAACCGAAAAAUCAAGGUCUUAGUAUCUUUUUUACACUUGUUUUUAGCUGAUCCCAAGCCUAUUUUCUUAUCUCUUGGGUUUAUUCAGUUUACAAAUUCGAUCCUUCGUGUUUUGGUUACAACCCGAACCAUAAACCGAAUUGGUUAUUCGGUUCGAGUUUUAAUUCAAUCGGGUAAGUUGUUUAUCUGUUCGGUUUUCGGUUUAAUUUGUUUGAAAAUGUGUUAAUUUUCUUUUUACAUUUUAUAGAAAACUUCAGUUUUAUGGUCACUCUUGUUGCAGUCAAAGUUAUUCCAAAGUCAAAGAACAACUGGGCACACAUUUCUGAAUCUUCUUCAGUGGCUAAAAUGGUGAAAGAGUGCAGGCUGCAUAGAUGGUCCUCUCUCUCUGAUUUCCUAAAAUGGUGAAAGAGUGCAACAGAGUCAUUUCAUUUUUAUGUAGCCUGCUCAUUUCAACAGUAACACACUUUAUAGCCUGCUCUUCCCUUUCCUUUUAAAAACUGGUCAAACAAAUAACCCUCACACAAACCAUUUUAACCCUUCAGGUGUCAUGCAUUUACACAUUAAACCCUUACUCUCUCUCACUUCCCUUAUAAGAAGCACCUCCCCACAUUAACUCACUUUUACUCUUCCUCGACCUCCAUAAUUUGAGUCGAAACUCCCACUACACACACACACACAAGUUCAAGCUGAAGCAACUUAAGGUAGUUUGAACCUGUUUGAAACUGAAGCAAGUUCAAGCAUCCUCCUAAAACUCCCUUUUAAGUUUAGUGUAAAAAAUGUAGUAUAUUCUCAUAACUAAUUAACUGUAGGUUAUGUUGGACAGUUAUAAGUUUUCUUGUUUUACCUUUUUAAUCAGUCUUGCAAGUUCAAAUUUGUAUUAAUUGUACAUGUCAUAGAUUGUGUUGUGUAUUUGUGGACGGGGUAAUAUUGGAAUGAAGCUACUAUAUAGCCUGCUGUUUUACUAUUA